rnacentral:rRNA from 1 species
GACGAACGCUGGCGGCGUGCUUAACACAUGCAAGUCGAACGAUGACGACCGAGCUUGCUCGGUCUGAUUAGUGGCGAACGGGUGAGUAACACGUGAGCAACCUGCCCUUCACUCUGGGAUAACCUCGGGAAAUCGGGGCUAAUACCGGAUAUGAGCUCCUGUCGCAUGGCGGGUGUUGGAAAGUUUUUCGGUGAAGGAUGGGCUCGCGGCCUAUCAGUUUGUUGGUGGGGUAGUGGCUCACCAAGGCGAUGACGGGUAGCCGGCCUGAGAGGGCGACCGGCCACACUGGGACUGAGACACGGCCCAGACUCCUACGGGAGGCAGCAGUGGGGAAUAUUGCACAAUGGGCGAAAGCCUGAUGCAGCGACGCCGCGUGAGGGAGGACGGCCUUCGGGUGGUAAACCUCUUUCAGCAGGGAAGAAGCGAAAGUGACGGUACCUGCAGAAGAAGCGCCGGCUAACUACGU